rnacentral:lncRNA from 10 species
AAUCCUCCAAAGUUUGAAAGUUAUUUUCCAGGAGACUUGGCUUGCACUGAGAGCUGCCCUCCCACCCUCUCUCCAAAUUUCCUCUUGGGGGUAGCCUAACAAGGUGCUGUCACAGACCCUUGUCGGCCACGAUGACCCCACCCAGACCAUCCCUCUGCUGUUUCACUCUUUGAUAGUCUCUGGAGCUCUCUGGGGAGGGGUGAGACCUGCCGUCUAGUUUGUAUGGUUUGCCCAGGUCUUACAGUCAUGGCUGGCUGCCUCUCUCUGAGAACUAGAACUCCUGAACUUGGUGAAAGACCUCAGCCAUCGAUCAUGUUGAAUUAUCGGGGACACUCAUUUGAAAUCCGAGCCUGUUCCAGAUAGACUCUCUCUCUUUCUGCCCUGACCGUGAGAGAAGCCCUGCUGGACGGUGGAGACACUCGUGGGCUGUGAGCAAGGGAUGCAAAGGCUGCCGGGAAUCCCAUCUUUCCAGCAUCAUCUGCCAAGGCACAUUAGUUCCUGGGUAUCUGGAUGGGUUCUAGCAGCAUUACUGUCAUUGAAGGAAAAAUUUUAGCCAUAUUAAAGGUUAAUGCAGCAAUCUCCACAUAGGCUGCCUGGAAGGGAAGCAGGACAAGGUUAGGUUUUCCUUGUGAUGGACAGGAGGCAGGCGGCCCUCCCACAGCCCUGCCUGGCAAUACAGAUGUGUCCCCAAAAGGCACUGGGGGCCAGCUGGAGUGCUAUGCCGAGGCGGACUGACCCGGGCCGUGGGUUCACUCUGCUGGCAGCGGUUUCCCGCCAGCUCCUUGCAGAGUUGGCAGAUGGCCCAGCCCCACAGCAGGAGCCGGGAAUGGCAGAACGAGACACAACAAUUUGAUAUCCACUUGCCAGAUGAGCCGGGUGUCAUCAGUCGCCUGGCUCUAUGCCCAACCUCUUUUUGCAUAAACACUUAUGGAUUCAGCCAAGAGGAAAAGCACUCUGAUUAUGAAUUGAGCAGAAGGAAACAAAGUUCUGCAGAUAAACACCAAUGAAACAAAAAACCACGAAUAAGAAAAAUGACAGAAAAGGAGAACCUUCCCAGAAUCCUCCUGCCAGUGAACGGUCACCAGAGCAAGAGCAUGGAGUCCCUGGGUUUUGAACUGUGAGAUAAGGAAGAUGAUGAAAACCUCCCUAGCAGCCAGGUAAGCACAAGAUUCCUGUGAAAUCCAGGUCUAAGUGUUUUGACGAAUGACGGACGCUGGGGCUUUGAUGGGCACCGGGUGAAAUGGGCAGAGUGGCGCUUACCCGGGAUGGCGGUGAAGCGGGACCGGGAGGUCAUCGUGACAAAGGGUGGCAUGAGGUACCUGGCCUUGACGCCCUCCCCGGCUAGACGGUCCAGAUUGGGGGUGUCCACAUCCUGAUCCUAGUCCCAGCGGAAGCCCUGGAAGGAGAUCAGCAGCAGCUAAACUCCUGGAGGGCAGAGCCAUGCCUGCCAUUUUCAUCAUUGCAUUACCACCACCCAGCACAGUGCCUGGUACAAAAGAGUUGCUCAAUAAAUAAAUCAGGAUGAAUGGACAAAUACACGGAUAGGCACUUUGAAC